GGACCCGCACAAGCAGCGGAGCGUGUGGUUUAAUUCGUUGCUACACGAAGAACCUUACCUAGGUUUGACAUAUAGGUUGUAGGGAACUGAAAAGGGACCGACCCUUCGGGGAGCCUAUACAGGUGUUGCAUGGCUGUCGUCAGCUCGUGUCGUGAGAUGUUCGGUUAAGUCCGCUAACGAGCGCAACCCUCGCCGUAUGUUACAAGUGUCAUACGGGACUGCCGGUAAAAAGUCGGAGGAAGGUGGGGAUGAUGUCAAGUCAGCAUGACCUUUAUAUCUAGGGCUACACACACGCUACAAUGGUCUGUACAAUGGGUAGCCAAGCCGCGAGGCGGAGCCAAUCCUGAAAGCAGGCCUCAGUUCAGAUUGCAGUCUGCAACCCGACUGCAUGAAGCCGGAGUUGCUAGUAACCGCAGGUCAGCAAUACUGCGGUGAAUACGUUCCCGGGUCUU
rnacentral:rRNA from 1 species